UUGAACGCUGGCGGCAGGCCUAACACAUGCAAGUCGAACGGUAACAGGAAGCAGCUUGCUGCUUCGCUGACGAGUGGCGGACGGGUGAGUAAUGUCUGGGAAACUGCCUGAUGAGGGGGAUAACUACUGGAAACGGUAGCUAAUACCGCAUAACGUCGCAAGACCAAAGAGGGGGACCUUCGGGCCUCUUGCCAUCGGAUGUGCCCAGAUGGGAUUAGCUAGUAGGUGGGGUAACGGCUCACCUAGGCGACGAUCCCUAGCUGGUCUGAGAGGAUGACCAGCCACACUGGAACUGAGACACGGUCCAGACUCCUACGGGAGGCAGCAGUGGGGAAUAUUGCACAAUGGGCGCAAGCCUGAUGCAGCCAUGCCCGCGUGUAUGAAGAAGGCCUUCGGGUUGUAAAGUACUUUCAGCGGGGAGGAAGGGAGUAAAGUUAAUACCUUUGCUCAUUGACGUUACCCGCAGAAGAAGCACCGGCUAACUCCGUGCCAGCCGCCGC
rnacentral:rRNA from 1 species